CUUAACACAUGCAAGUCGAGGGGCAGCAUUUUAGUUUGCUUGCAAACUGAAGAUGGCGACCGGCGCACGGGUGAGUAACACGUAUCCAACCUGCCGAUAACUCCGGAAUAGCCUUUCGAAAGAAAGAUUAAUACCGGAUAGCAUACGAAUAUCGCAUGAUAUUUUUAUUAAAGAAUUUCGGUUAUCGAUGGGGAUGCGUUCCAUUAGUUUGUUGGCGGGGUAACGGCCCACCAAGACAACGAUGGAUAGGGGUUCUGAGAGGAAGGUCCCCCACAUUGGAACUGAGACACGGUCCAAACUCCUACGGGAGGCAGCAGUGAGGAAUAUUGGUCAAUGGGCGAGAGCCUGAACCAGCCAAGUAGCGUGAAGGAUGAAGGCUCUAUGGGUCGUAAACUUCUUUUAUAUGGGAAUAAAGUUUUCCACGUGUGGAAUUUUGUAUGUACCAUAUGAAUAAGGAUCGGCUAACUCCGUGCCAGCAGCCGCGGUAAUACGGAGGAUCCGAGCGUUAUCCGGAUUUAUUGGGUUUAAAGGGAGCGUAGGUGGAUUGUUAAGUCAGUUGUGAAAGUUUGCGGCUCAACCGUAAAAUUGCAGUUGAAACUGGCAGUCUUGAGUACAGUAGAGGUGGGCGGAAUUCGUGGUGUAGCGGUGAAAUGCUUAGAUAUCACGAAGAACUCCGAUUGCGAAGGCAGCUCACUAGACUGUCACUGACACUGAUGCUCGAAAGUGUGGGUAUCAAACAGGAUUAGAUACCCUGGUAGUCCACACAGUAAACGAUGAAUACUCGCUGUUUGCGAUAUACAGUAAGCGGCCAAGCGAAAGCAUUAAGUAUUCCACCUGGGGAGUACGCCGGCAACGGUGAAACUCAAAGGAAUUGACGGGGGCCCGCACAAGCGGAGGAACAUGUGGUUUAAUUCGAUGAUACGCGAGGAACCUUACCCGGGCUUAAAUUGCAACAGAAUAUAUUGGAAACAGUAUAGCCGUAAGGCUGUUGUGAAGGUGCUGCAUGGUUGUCGUCAGCUCGUGCCGUGAGGUGUCGGCUUAAGUGCCAUAACGAGCGCAACCCUUAUCUUUAGUUACUAACAGGUGAUGCUGAGGACUCUAGAGAGACUGCCGUCGUAAGAUGUGAGGAAGGUGGGGAUGACGUCAAAUCAGCACGGCCCUUACGUCCGGGGCUACACACGUGUUACAAUGGGGGGUACAGAAGGCGGCUACCUGGUGACAGGAUGCUAAUCCCAAAAACCUCUCUCAGUUCGGAUCGAAGUCUGCAACCCGACUUCGUGAAGCUGGAUUCGCUAGUAAUCGCGCAUCAGCCAUGGCGCGGUGAAUACGUUCCCGGGCCUUGUACACACCGCCCGUCAAGCCAUGAAAGCCGGGGGUACCUGAAGUACGUAACCGCAAGGAGCGUCCUAGGGUAAAACUGGUAAUUGGGGCUAAGUCAUA
rnacentral:rRNA from 1 species